rnacentral:lncRNA from 1 species
CGUAACUAAAGUACUUUGCAUAUUCGUAUAUUUUCCAUGAUUAUUACCUGCCAAUUCUCAUCAACAGGAAUUGACAGGUGAAGCGAAAAUCUUUGUAUAAAGCAAUGUAGUGUUGAAUAAAAAUUGCACACCAACUUUCCUUUAAACCCUCAUAACUUUGUCAUUUCUUCAUCUUUUUUCACGGUAGACAGACGAUUGAUUUUGAAAUUGCGCGUCCAAUCUUUUUCCAUAUCAUAAACACCUAUAUACUGCAUUGUUACCAAAAAUACACCUGAACUUUAAUGACCCACUCACUGAUAACAACCACGUGACAUAUGCGAUUUAUCUAUUAGCCCGAACUGCUCGCGGUAACAGCCCGGUACAUCAGAGGGCCAUGUCAAGUGGGUGAUAAACAUGUCGGUUUCUUUAUAUUUUUAUCAUUUUUCUCUGAUCGAACUGCUAUCCUGGGGAUGUUAAUUUUGUAUCAAGCAGAGUGUUCACUCUCCUUCUAAUAUAACCUCCUUGGUAUAUCAUAACAAAUUGGCAAAUACAGCCUUAUUAUCACCUUAAAAACUACUGUGUACGGAGUUACAUGUGCGGUUUGGGAAGUUUUAUGUUUUUAGAUAUAUAAAAGU